rnacentral:rRNA from 1 species
UACGUAGGGUGCAAGCGUUAAUCGGAAUUACUGGGCGUAAAGCGUGCGCAGGCGGUUUUGUAAGCCAGAUGUGAAAUCCCCGGGCUUAACCUGGGAAUGGCAUUUGGGACUGCAAGGCUGGAGUGUGGCAGAGGAGACUGGAAUUCCUGGUGUAGCAGUGAAAUGCGUAGAUAUCAGGAGGAAUACCGAUGGCGAAGGCAGGUCUCUGGGCUGACACUGACGCUCAUGCACGAAAGCGUGGGGAGCAAACAGG